rnacentral:rRNA from 1 species
UACGUAGGGGGCAAGCGUUGUCCGGAUUUAUUGGGCGUAAAGAGCGUGUAGGCGGCCUGGUAGGUCAGCUGUGAAAACUCGAGGCUCAACCUCGAGACGCCGGUGGAAACUGCAAAGCUAGAGUCCGGAAGAGGAGGGUGGAAUUCCUGGUGUAGCGGUGAAAUGCGCAGAUAUCAGGAAGAACACCCGUGGCGAAGGCGGCUCUCUGGGACGGUACUGACGCUGAGACGCGAAAGCGUGGGGAGCGAACAGG